rnacentral:lncRNA from 1 species
GGAGGGAUACAACAAAGUAGCGAAACACAGUGGUAUCAGAAGCACACAAAAAAAUAUCAGUACAGAAAGUUAUAAUAGCAAAACUACAUAUUAGCAGAAACACAAUGUGUACUACUUAGGUAACAUUAGAAAUUAACAGAAAAACAAUAGAUGUUCAAGUUGAUGUCAAAUGCCAUGCAGCCCAUAUUCUUCGGUCCACCAAGUUGAUUAGAGAAAUAAGCCUGCUGUGAUACUAAAACAUUAACAUCAGCUAAGGAUGAAAACAGUAUUUUGGAAGUAUGAGAUAUUGACCGAUUUAUUGAAAAGUAACGAAUUUUUGUGGGGGUGGUAAAUGAGUGAUUAUGAUCUAAAUUUACAAAAUCAGUGACCCACUGAUCAGACCUGUCUAUUCUUUUAAAUUUGAUACUUGCCAAACAACCACAUCUAAAAACACUAUUCUUCCGUCUAUUACCGUUGGUUGGUGGAAGUAUUAGAUUGGGACUGCCUAGUUUAGAACACAACAACAUUUUCAAUACAAAAAUUUUAUGACCAGUUUGUUUGUCCAAUAUAUUAUGCGUCGAUCUUAAAUGAACAGAAAAUCCGGUAGACGAUGCGAAAUCGUAAUAGGAUUGAACAGCUAUUUUAUACGAAGGAAAAACCUCACCUACAAUAGGGAAUGGUUUACUGGAUUGACUGUAACCAGAAGAUCCAUUUUCAUUAUUAGGAGAUGUUGAAUAUCCACUAGUAGAGGAAAAUUUUCUUUUCAAAUGAUUGUCAGGGGUUUUAGCAGUAUCGCAACUUACAUUAUCGAAAUGAGCAGGAAUUUAAACAGAGGAAUCCACGAUAUCAGCAGAGGCGGAUUGAACAUUUUCUGAAUCAAAAAAAUUACAGCGUACGUUAUCAGGAUCCAAGGAACGACAAACAUUGACACUGGAAUCUAUACGAUUAACAGUGGUCUGACAAUGAGGAGAAUUGAAUUGCUAAUUUAUACUAUUUGGUAUUUUAGUAGUUCCGUAACUCAUAUUAGCGGAGGAUUCCUUAAUUUCAGCAGAGGUGCAUUGGACAAAAUCUGGAUGAACAAUGUUGCUUGCAGGGGCAUCAAGAUCCAAGGGCGUUGAAAAACCAACGUUGGAAGGUUUAGUAUUGGCAUUUGUGUGACAUUGAGGAGAAUUAAAAUGAAAUUUCAAGCUAACGUUGCAAGAUGUAUUUGUGUAAUCGUAUAUAAACUGUGGUGAACGAUAUAGAGGAGGGGUCACAAAAAUUGAAUUGGUGUUGGGGGAAACUUGCAGGCUGGUAGGUCGAUGUUGAUUGCCAAAUGAUAUUGGAGAAGCCAUUAUAUGCUAUGGAGGAAGAAAAUAAACAUUCAAUGUAACAAAAGUUCUUUUAGACGGAGAUUUGACAAUCAACUACAGAAAAUUUGAAAAAGUGAUAGACGGAAACAAUUUUAGAUGGAAGGAAAGAAAGAAAGAGUGUAAGAGGUAGAAAAGAAAUUACAAGCAGAAAUCGUUAAAAAUUCUGACAAGGAAGGAGAGGGGAUGGAGGUACGACGGAGGGAAAAAAUCCGACAGGGAAGGAGGGGGGACGGAGAUACAAAAAUGGAAUGUUCGAUAGAAAGGUAGAAAUGGAAAAUGAUGACAGCUUUAAAAAAAAAUUCCAAAUAAAAAAAUGUAAUAAAAUGAAUGUUACGUGAGUAAUGGAAGGAUUAAUGAAAAUGGAAUAAAAUAAUUGAGAAAAUGGAAAAAGAUGGCUUGUUGCAACAGGUAAAUAACGGACGGCGAUGAUUGGUCCGAAAAAACGAAGGGCAGAAAUUAAGUUCUCACGUAAGAACCCUUCUUAACUGAUAUUUUUUGUAAAAAUAUAAGCCCAAAGUCAACCUUUGGAUGUAUAUACUUCUCUACAGAUAUAGAGCUGUCAACCUUUGGAUGUAUAUAUCUUUUCUACAGAUAUAGAGCUGUCAAUCUUUGGAUGAUAUAUCAAAGUCAGAUAAUAAUAUAAUAUAUUAUCGGAUGAUAUAUCAAAGUCAGAUAAUAAUAUAAUAUAUUAUCGAAUAAAUUUAAGUGAAAAUGUACAAAAUAAAAUUCGAACCGUAAACCUCAAAAACCUUAAUAAUCCCUGAGACCAAUAAGCCAACCUUGAUAUUCAGUUUUUGGACUAAUUUAGCUUUAAUAUAUAUAUAUAGGAUGCGUUUUUUGGAACAUCGGAUCUCGCCAUCCACAUAGCAAGAACUAAUCUCGUCGUCCAUGUAGCAUGUAUAAAUACAUCCGAUCUUGCGAGUUCCGGAACGCGCAAUUUUGCGGUUCUCCGACUCCAACAUCGCUAGUCGUGGAAUCCGCGGUCCACGACUCCGAUAUCGCGACGUGCUGAUUCCGUGAUCCGGAACACGUGAUUCCGGACAUCAGAACGACAUCACGUGAUGUUGUUCCCUACAUUCCGCACCCAGUUUCAGGUGCAGAAAUCUGUGUGUAUAUAUAUAUAUCUUAUUAUUUUUAUUUUUACUGUAUAUUACUAAUUACUAUAUUAAUAAAAUAAUUAGUUUAUAUAUAUAUUAAAUAUAUAGGUUAGAAACCAAGGCGACCGGGUCGGGUUUUAGGUCGAUCCGAAUCCGCCCCUGUUUUAGAUCGGGAGACAAAACUGAUCUGGAUUCCGGACCCUAGGUGAGAAUGAUACAUAGAAAUUGAAAAUGAAUAUUUAAAAUUAAAAAAACAAAAUCCAAAACAAAAGAGUUUUAAAAAAAUACUCAUUCUUCAUUGCUAAGCCGGUAUGCAAUUUCAAUCCUAACCGGAACGGCAUUUGCAAGCCGAUACCUCAUUGCGACGGUGAACGACAUCCGAUCGUUCUUCCCCAACCGUCGAACCGGAAUGUCGGUACCGGAACCGUGAUGGGUUCCAUAAGAGAUUCGCGAUCUGAACAAUCGGCACCUAACCUAGGAGGAACUGCAGCAAAAACGUGCUUUAAAAAAAAU